GACGAACGCUGGCGGCGUGCUUAACACAUGCAAGUCGAACGGAAAGGCCCUGCUUUUGUGGGGUGCUCGAGUGGCGAACGGGUGAGUAACACGUGAGUAACCUGCCCUUGACUUUGGGAUAACUUCAGGAAACUGGGGCUAAUACCGGAUAGGAGCUCCUGCUGCAUGGUGGGGGUUGGAAAGUUUCGGCGGUUUGGGAUGGACUCGCGGCUUAUCAGCUUGUUGGUGGGGUAGUGGCUUACCAAGGCUUUGACGGGUAGCCGGCCUGAGAGGGUGACCGGCCACAUUGGGACUGAGAUACGGCCCAGACUCCUACGGGAGGCAGCAGUGGGGAGUAUUGCACAAUGGGCGGAAGCCUGAUGCAGCAACGCCGCGUGCGGGAUGACGGCCUUCGGGUUGUAAACCGCUUUCGCCUGUGACGAAGCGUGAGUGACGGUAAUGGGUAAAGAAGCACCGGCUAACUACGUG
rnacentral:rRNA from 1 species